rnacentral:rRNA from 1 species
AGAGCGAACGCUGGCGGCAGGCCUAACACAUGCAAGUCGAGCGCCGUAGCAAUACGGAGCGGCAGACGGGAGAGUAACACGUGGGAACGUACCCUUUGGUUCGGAACAACCCAGGGAAACUUGGGCUAAUACCGAAUAAGCCCUUACGGGGAAAGAUUUAUCGCCGAAGGAUCGGCCCGCGUCUGAUUAGCUAGUUGGUGGGGUAACGGCCCACCAAGGCGACGAUCAGUAGCUGGUCUGAGAGGAUGAUCAGCCUCAUUGGGACUGAGACACGGCCCAAACUCCUACGGGAGGCAGCAGUGGGGAAUAUUGGACAAUGGGCGCAAGCCUGAUCCAGCCAUGCCGCGUGGGUGAUGAAGGCCCUAGGGUUGUAAAGCCCUUUCGGCGGGGAAGAUAAUGACGGUACCCGCAGAAGAGCCCCGGCUAACUUCGCGCCAGCAGCCGC